CUAUACAACUUUCAACAACGGAUCUCUUGGCUCUCGCAUCGAUGAAGAACGCAGCGAAAUGCGAUAAGUAAUGUGAAUUGCAGAAUUCAGUGAAUCAUCGAAUCUUUGAACGCACCUUGCGCUCCUUGGUAUUCCGAGGAGCAUGCCUGUUU
rnacentral:rRNA from 2 species